CAACGGCGCUUGCCAAAGAAAAACACUGGCUCAGGAGUCAAGAUUUCCACAUGCUCACCUUCGUCGUCGUGAUUUAUAACUUGCGUCGGUAUAUAUAUUAAUACUACCAAGAAUAGCUCUGCAAUUGAGGAAAAUAACCCUUUGAACAGCUAUCAGGAACACAUCAAGCACAUACAACUAUUACAUGCAAGAUUUUCACAGUAGAAAAAAAUAGGCUCAUUCCUAUUGUGCAAAAAAAAAAGAAAACAGUUGUACUGUCAAAUGUUAGUCCAUGAUACUAUUAGUGCAUCCCAGAUGUCAUUGUCACUUUAUUCAGUAACUUCUUAAUAGAAUUAUUGAAGACAUGA